GCACUUUUAUCCAUCAACCGUAAAUGGGUAGAAUUCUCAUAUCAAAGUAAACAGAAUACGCACGGAUCGCACUGCCAACAUUAAAGUGCAGCAAAAAAAAAAUUAAAAUAUUAUUAUGAAAGGGAAACUGGUUAUCAAAAAAAUAAAAAAUAAAAUGAAAUCAUGGUGCUGGAACAUAAAGCGGAUUAUCUGCUUCUAGAUAUUUUAUUUUUUCACACAAGUGCUUAUAAGAGGCCAAAACGUUUUCAUAUAACUUGUUUGCUUCUGCACUUGUUUGUCGUAAAUACUCAUGCGAUGUAAACAGAGAAUCUGCCAAUUUUUGCUUAGCACUUGGGACCUCUGAAAUGGGACAAUCACACACCAACCUGGCAGCGGUAUUUAAAUUUUCAUUUUCUUUUGCAAAAAAAUUCUCGUAUUUUCUUAUAUAACGUAAAGAACGAUAAAUCUCGAUUGGAAUAUUAUCGGUAAAUUCAACAAACUCGGCUGCAAGGUCUUCGUCACUCAAUUUUUCAUUACACGAUGACUCCUGUAUCUCAUCCAUUAAAAAAGGUCAAUAUUGUGGAAGCCAAAGUGCAAAAACUUGUUAUAAACAAAACAAAAUGAAAAGAUGAAAAAGAAAUUAAAUUUCAAAUUUUUGGUUAAUCGCACCUCCUAAACUUCCCAAAUUCAAUCGCUUUAAUCGAACAUGGAUUUUUUGUGUUUUAUAUUUCAGAAUAAUAAACCUCAGACUAUAUUAAAAAAAGUAGAAACCUCGUGGAAGAAUGCUUACUACUGCUUCAUCAGUUAUCUCAGGUUCGCACUUGUCUACUACAGUGGUGAGGAAAGUAACAUGUUACCAAUUGUAUGGAAUCAAAGUAGUUAAUUGAGAUUUACGAGAGAAGCUGUGAAACAAAAACUUGCCUUCUAGACAAGGUCGCUUUGUUUUAAAAAAACAAAAAAAAUCCUCUGCACAGUCCCUUCACUCUAUCGAUAGUGCAUGAUUUUUCUUUUUCUUUUUUAGCUAUCGAUAAUUAUUUUGCAUUUAAAAGAUGAGAAAAUAUAAAUAUAAAAACAAAUUAAAAUAUUAUCAAUCCCGGUUUGAGUCAAUAAGAGAACUUUCAUUUAUCUAUUUAUUUUAAUUUCAAUUAAUU